rnacentral:rRNA from 1 species
CACGUAGGGCGCAAGCGUUGUCCGGAAUUAUUGGGCGUAAAGAGCUCGUAGGUGGUUUGUUACGUCUGCUGUGAAAACCUAGGGCUUAACCCUGGGCUUGCAGUGGAUACGGGCAGACUAGAGUGCGGUAGGGGAGACUGGAAUUCCUGGUGUAGCGGUGGAAUGCGCAGAUAUCAGGAGGAACACCGAUGGCGAAGGCAGGUCUCUGGGCCGCAACUGACGCUGAGGAGCGAAAGCAUGGGGAGCGAACAGG